rnacentral:rRNA from 1 species
GAUGAACGCUGGCGGCGUGCCUAAUACAUGCAAGUCGAGCGAACAGACGAGGAGCUUGCUCCUCUGACGUUAGCGGCGGACGGGUGAGUAACACGUGGAUAACCUACCUAUAAGACUGGGAUAACUUCGGGAAACCGGAGCUAAUACCGGAUAAUAUAUUGAACCGCAUGGUUCAAUAGUGAAAGACGGUUUUGCUGUCACCUAUAGAUGGAUCCGCGCCGCAUUAGCUAGUUGGUAAGGUAACGGCUUACCAAGGCGACGAUGCGUAGCCGACCUGAGAGGGUGAUCGGCCACACUGGAACUGAGACACGGUCCAGACUCCUAAGGGAGGCAGCAGUAGGGAAUCUUCCGCAAUGGGCGAAAGCCUGACGGAGCAACGCCGCGUGAGUGAUGAAGGUCUUCGGAUCGUAAAACUCUGUUAUUAGGGAAGAACAAAUGUGUAAGUAACUAUGCACGUCUUGACGGUACCUAAUCAGAAAGCCACGGCUAACUACGUG